rnacentral:rRNA from 1 species
GUGUCAGCAGCCGCGGUAAUACGUAGGUGGCAAGCGUUAUCCGGAAUUAUUGGGCGUAAAGAGGGAGCAGGCGGCUAUAAAGGUCUGUGGUGAAAGACUGAAGCUCAACUUCAGUAAGCCAUGGAAACCAAAUAGCUAGAGUGCAUUAGAGGAUCGUGGAAUUCCAUGUGUAGCGGUGAAAUGCGUAGAUAUAUGGAGGAACACCAGUGGCGAAGGCGACGAUCUGGGAUGUAACAGACGCUGAGUCCCGAAAGCGUGGGGAGCAAAUAGGAUUAGAUACCCUAGUAGUCCACGCCGUAAACGAUGAGUACUAAGUGUUGGGAGUCAAAUCUCAGUGCUGCAGUUAACGCAAUAAGUACUCCGCCUGAGUAGUACGUUCGCAAGAAUGAA